UAGGAAGUGGUGUAGUGGGAGCACUAAGAGUUUUGAUCUCUUCAGUAAGGGUUCGAAUCCCUUUUUUCUAU
rnacentral:tRNA from 1 species